rnacentral:lncRNA from 14 species
AUGUCGUGCUACCUACACCAGUGCCUCCCUCCAGUCUACCAGAACUCCAUCCCCAUCAAGUGCUCACCAGUAUAUACUGCCAGACAUCUGCCAGUGCCUACCUGGCACUCGACACUAUGCACACCACAAUAUGUGACCCCCUGCAUCCCCCGGCAGCGGAUCAUGUCCUCCAGCUUCUCCCACCAGCAGAGUGUGACCAAGUGUGUGCCACGGCUGCGGUAUCAGACCAAGUGUGUGCCACAGCAGCAGUGUGUGACCCAACACAUCCAAGAGCAGCCAUGUGUAACUCGGUGUGUGACAACCUGUGUGCCACAGCAGCAGUGUGCAACGGAAGGCAUGCUGCAGCAGCCGAGAGUGACCAAGUGUGUGCCACAGCAGCAGUGUGCAACUGAGGCUGUGCCACAACAAUGUGCAACCAAGUGUGUGACCGCCUAUGCCCCCCAACAGCAGUGUGAGACCAGAUGUGUGACCACAUGUGUGCCACAGCAGCCGUACCUGACCAAGGCCAUCCCGCAGCAGCAGUGUGCAACCAAGUGCAUCCCACAACAGUGUGUGACAACAUACAGCCCACAGCAGCCAUGUGCAACCAGGUGUGUGACCACGUGCGUCCCACAGCAGCGUGCAACCAAAUGGGUCUCACAUCGCUUUGUGACCUCUUCUGCACCGCAGCAGUGUGCCACCACGUAUGUCCCGCAGCAGCGUGCAACCAGGUGUGUGACCAAGUGUGUCCCGCAGCAGUGUGACACUGAUUGUGCUACCAUUUGUGUCCCACAGCAGUGUGAGACAGCUUGUAUCCCGCAGCAGCAGUGUGAGACCAAGUGUGUCCCGCACCAGCAGCGUGCCACUAAGUGUGUGCGACAGCAGCAAUGUGCCACUAAGUGUGUGCCACAGCAGCAAUGUGCCACUAAGUGUGUGCCACAGCAGCAGUGUGCCACCAAGUGUGUUACACAGCAGCAGUGUGCCACUAAGUGUGUGCCACAGCAGCAGUGUGCCACUAAGUGUGUCCCACAGCAGCAAUGUGCCACUAAGUGUGUGCCACAGCAGCAAUGUGCCACCAAGUGUGUUACACAGCAGCAGUGUGCCACUAAGUGUGUCCCACAGCAGCAGUGUGCCACUAAGUGUGUUACACAGCAAUGUGCCACCAAGUGUGUUACACAGCAAUGUGCCACCAAGUGUGUGCCACAGCAGCAGUGUCAGUCAGGUGGAGUGAAGAUUUCAAGCCAUGCUAAAAAGUACUGCUCUGCCUCCAAAUGGCCCUGGUAA